AAAUAAUGCCCUUUUGAGUAUUUCUUUAAUUUAUUUAUUAAUUUUUUAUAAUUUCAAUUUAUAUAGCAUAGCAUAAAACAAAUGCAAGAAUGGAAAUGUUGAAACAAACUACUCUAAUCACUUGUUAUGAGAAGUGCUCAUACGAUCAAUAAAAUUUUUAAUUAAUUAUAGAGCAAAUACACUUUUGGUCUUUGAGGUUUGAAGUGUUGUCAAUUUGGUCUCUAAAGUUUCAAAACAAACACUUCAGUCAUUGAAGUUUGAAAAAUAGUUCUAAAUAGUCAUUGAUGUCAUAUUAACCAUUCGUUGACUAAUAAUUAAUCACCAAAAUGAUUUGACAAAAAUAAUUAUAAUAUUAACUUUUUUUUUAAUGGUGGGCAUCCCUCUCCUCACCCUCUUCCUCAACUUCCCAUCAUUAUGCUCCAAAUUCUUUUUGUUCUCCCUAUUGUUGCUAAUGAAGACCAAAGAUGAAUUUAACCACCACUGUACAUUUUAUUUAGAUCGUACACGUCAUUUUCUUUUUCAUCACCGUACAUGGUCAACUUUGGUAACGAACGGUAGAAAUGCUCGCUAGUAUUUAUGGUUGAACUCUUAAAUAAUUUCAAAAAGAUGAAGUAAAAAAAAAAGGGUUAGAAUCUUGCAACUAAGAAUACUUUUGAAUAAAGUAAUAUGUAUGAUUCAUUUUAGAAACUAACAUGAAUAAUGAAGAGGCUAAUGGAUGGUCAAACUUCAUAUUGUCAGAAAGACAACUCAAACUGCAUCAAAAGAUAAAAAGAACUAAGCUAAUGGUUAAUAAUUUGAAGUAAAUGAGAUAAUUAGUUGAUAUACGUACAACCCAAAAGUCAUGUUCUCCACAUAUUAAGCGGUCUAAUUGUCAUGUCCCACCUCAAAUGUUACUCCUUGCGAUUAGAUGGGGACGUGCCACCUAGACACUCAUCGCGUACCUCUUCACGAGAUGACAUGUUGAGCACCUAGUAAAAAAAAAACAUCUUACUUCACUUGUUUUUUCGCGAAACCUUUGCCUCAAACUUAGACUUUCUUGAUUCAAUGAAAAUUUACAACUUUUGAUAACGCAACUCAACUUUAACUCCUAGGCGACAAUCUCAAGAGAUAAUAAUAAAAUAGCGGAAUACAUAACUACUUCUCUUUAUUAAUUUAACAUCUUUAUAAGGUUCUUACAUAUAAAUUACAUUCCUUUUUCUUACGAAACAUAAAACUAAAGUUGACUUCUGGUCCACCUUUCCUCAUCCACUGCCUAACACUACUCUUUUUGUGGAGAGAUUUUCAAGAGUAUAAGGACUCUGAUUUCAUCCUUUUCCAUGAGUUGCUAACAACAUAACUCAAGGACAUUCUUUAGGGCUUCCUUUCCCUGACUCAGAUCUUUCACACUCAACAUCUUUUAUUCCAUAACUGUGGCACGCGUCCGAUGACCUUUCUUCGAUAUAAGCUGGAGUCUUUUGCGUUAAAGAGUUAUGCGUUUUCCAACCAGCUCCUUAAACGCGAGAUAGGAUGACACAGCUUGUACACCGCACAAGUCUACACAACCAUCCUCUAUCCUCUCACUUACUUGGCUUCCAUGCCUAACUUUCAUCUCUUACUUGGCUUCAACGUCUAACAACCUCGGGAGGGAGAAAACUUAAUGUAAGGCCCACACCUAAAUUAAAGAGUUAAUAAGUAAAUUUUUUGGCUAAGUGUCCAAAUUUGGGCGUUUUGGAUGGUCUCUGCAUAAAGGUUAUGCGAGAAGGCGAUUUGAAGAAGGUUAGGCGAUAAGAAUUGGUAUCUAGGGUUGUUCGUGAGGUAAAUUACUGUAGUGUAAGUGUAACUAUGCAAUAAGAACUGGACGAGAAGAAACAAGGAAAAUUCGGAGAAAUUUUCUGUGUUAAUAGUGAUAGAACUAAGUCAUGCACAGUGGAAAAAGAAUCGAAUUUCUACCCUAAUUGCCACAAUUAACAUAUAACCAUAAACUAAUCAAAUUAGGGGUUUUAAGAAAUAUUACCUUUGAAGCUUUCAAAAGGUUUGAUAUCUUCUUACCAAUUCUAACCGAGACCACCACUAGUACUCAACUGCUAUCCUCUAGACAAAGAACCGGGUUGUGGGACCCAAUUUUGGUGUAGAAAGUAAUGGAGAUAAAAUG
rnacentral:lncRNA from 1 species